rnacentral:rRNA from 1 species
UGGCGAACGGGUGAGUAACACGUGGGUAAUCUGCCCUGCACUUCGGGAUAAGCCUGGGAAACUGGGUCUAAUACCGGAUAUGAGCUCCUGCCGCAUGGAGGGGGUUGGAAAGUUUUUCGGUGCAGGAUGAGUCCGCGGCCUAUCAGCUUGUUGGUGGGGUAAUGGCCUACCAAGGCGACGACGGGUAGCCGGCCUGAGAGGGUGAUCGGCCACACUGGGACUGAGACACGGCCCAGACUCCUACGGGAGGCAGCAGUGGGGAAUAUUGCACAAUGGGCGGAAGCCUGAUGCAGCGACGCCGCGUGGGGGAUGACGGUCUUCGGAUUGUAAACCCCUUUCAGUAGGGACGAAGCGAAAGUGACGGUACCUGCAGAAGAAGCACCGGCUAACUACGUGCCAGCAGCCGCGGUAAUACGUAGGGUGCGAGCGUUGUCCGGAAUUACUGGGCGUAAAGAGCUCGUAGGCGGUUUGUCACGUCGUCUGUGAAAUCCCUCGGCUUAACCGGGGGCGUGCAGGCGAUAC